AGUGAACGCUGGCGGUAGGCCUAACACGUGCAAGUCGAACGGCAGCACAGGAGAGCUUGCUCUCUGGGUGGCGAGUGGCGGACGGGUGAGGAAUACAUCGGAAUCUACUCUGUCGUGGGGGAUAACGUAGGGAAACUUACGCUAAUACCGCAUACGACCUACGGGUGAAAGCAGGGGAUCUUCGGACCUUGCGCGAUUGAAUGAGCCGAUGUCGGAUUAGCUAGUUGGCGGGGUAAAGGCCCACCAAGGCUACGAUCCGUAGCUGGUCUGAGAGGAGGAUCAGCCCCACUGGAACUGAGACACGGGACAGACUCCUACGGGAGGCAGCAGUGGGGAAUAUUGGACAAUGGGCGGAAGCCUGAUCCAGCCAUACCGCGUGGGUGAAGAAGGCCUUCGGGUUGUAAAGCCCUUUUGUUGGGAAAGAAAUCCAGCUGGCUAAUACCCGGUUGGGAUGACGGUACCCAAAGAAUAAGCACCGGCUAACUUCGUGCCAGCCGCCGCCGUAA
rnacentral:rRNA from 1 species